rnacentral:rRNA from 1 species
GUGCCAGCAGCCGCGGUAAUUCCAGCUCCAAUAGCAUAUAUUAAAGUUGUUGCGGUUAAAACGCCCGUAGUUGGAUCAGCGGAUUUGGAGAACGGUCUGCCGAUGGGCUGUACUGUUCUCCUGUCCUAUUUUCUCUAGUUCGCUCUAGGUGCUCUUCACUGAGUGUCUAGAGUGGCUGGAACUUUUACUUUGAAAAAAUUAGAGUGCUCAAAGCAGGCGUCUCAGCCUGAAUAGUGGUGCAUGGAAUAAUGGAAUAGGACCUCAGUUCUAUUUUGUUGGUUUUCGGAACAUGAGGUAAUGAUUAAGAGGGACAGACGGGGGCAUUCGUAUUGCGACGUUAGAGGUGAAAUUCUUGGAUCGUCGCAAGACGAACUACUGCGAAAGCAUUUGCCAAGAAUGUUUUCAUUAAUCAAGGACGAUAGUUAGAGGUUCGAAGGCGAUCAGAUACCGCCCUAGUUCUAACCGUAAACGAUGUCAACCAGCGAUCCGCAGGAGUUAUUCAUGACUCUGCGGGCAGCUUCCGGGAAACCAAAGUUUUUGGAUUCCGGGGGGAGUAUGGUUGCAAAGCUGAAACUCAAGGAAUUGACGG